UGCCUGGAUUUGUGUGUGUGUGUGUGUGUGUGUGUGUGUGUGUGUGUGUGUGUGUGUAAAUGGAGUCAUAUUAGGUGGCUCAAGCUUGUCUCUGAACUCUGGUCUCAAGUGGUCCCCUUCUGUUUUGGCCUUCUGAAUAGCUAGGACCAUAGGUAUGGAACAAAUAUUCCUCAGUAGGUUACUUCUGAGCCUUCUUUUCCUCAACUGUAAUUUAAAGAUAAUAACUGCUUCCUAGGGUUGUGCCAAUUAAGUGAGAUGAUUUACAGAAGGUGCUUAUAACUGUGUCUAACAAUUAAUAGUCUCAUAUAAAUGUAACCACCAAUUAUUAUUAAUAUGUUCAACAAUCUAUUAAGAGCUCGAUUUUCAUAAUUUAUUGAUUGUUACUAUUACUGUAAAGAAUGUAAAUACAAUGAGUAGAGAAUAUAAUUCAUGACUUUAAAAUUUUCCCAUUUAAUUGAAGAUUUAGGGCUAACUCAUUCUUAGAAAAAAUUUGAUAAAAAUGUAUUGUAUUUUCUAUAGAUUUUAAUAAGGAGUUUACUGGUACAUUAAUGGGAUCUUAAAGAGGUACAUACUUGGGGCCAGUGGCCAUUCUGGCGGGGGGGAAUUAUAGGAUUUUUAUAUAAUGGUUUAAACUAGGUAGCUGUAGGCCAGUGUCCCUUUUAAAUUGUUCUUGCUUUAUUGGUAAACCUUCUGAAAGGUCUGUGAAUGAUACUGUAUGUACCUUAAGGUUUUUUGAAACCAGGAGAAUUCUAGUAAAAUCUUAUUUUUCUUGCUGAAGUAGGAUUCUAAAUGGCUCCAGUAGAUGGUUCUGUGGGUGAAGUGAGGACCUGGGUUUGGCAUCCCAGAACCCAUGUUAAAGAUACAUCUGCAGUUCCUGAGUUCCUACUGCUAGAUGGGAGGCAGAGACAGGAGAAUUCUGGAAGCAUAUGGGCCACAUGACCUGGAAUGAAGUAGGAGAAAUAAGAGAGAUACUCUCCUUCAUAAGAGGAAGUCUAGGACUGAUAAUUAAGGUCAUCCUCUGGUUCUCUACAUGCAUUUUGUGGCAUGUACCUAUACGCACACGUGAUGGAAAAUGGUUCCUUCCUUCAUGUAUCUUUUUGAACUAAAUUAAGAAAUAGAACUCAGUGAAGACUUUCUAUUCUGUCUAUUCUUGUCCAUUGGCUGUGCUGUGGUUUGGUGGAAAAAAAAUGGAGGACGGUUUCUCAGAGACUGCUUGUAAUUGAGAUGGAGGAGUAUGAUGCUUUCCAAAUGUAGCCUCCCUGCAGAAUGGGCACCUUGAACUGGGAGACAGAUAUUUUGGUGUAAGUUUUCAAGUACAGCUCUUUGGGUAUGCCUGACAGUGGAAAUAGCAGAUCUAAGACUGUUUUCAAAUUUACUUUUUGCCUGUGAAAUUUUGAUAGAACGUGUGUGUGAUUAUGAUACUAAUUGAUACAAAUUAUGGGAAUCACUGAGGUUUGAACAUUUGGUGAUACAGGGCAAAGUAGAGUCCCGAACAAUUAUGUCUUGGUUACAUAUUUAGGAGAUAAUAGGGGCCAACACCUGUGAGAGGGAGUACAGCAUAUGUAUGGGGCAUGGAACAUUUUAUUCCCUUUAGUUCUGGUUGCCCUUAGAAAUAUAGGAUGGGUAAUAUAGCCUCAUUAUUAUUAUUUUUCUGAGACAAGGUAUUAGCAUAUGACCAAGGUGACUUGAAACUCAGAGAUCCACCUUCCUCUGCCUCCUUAUUAAGGGCAUAUUCCACGGAGCCUGGAAAAGCCACACUAUUUUUAAGAUAGCUGAAGUAGUUUCUGAUUUUACCAUUUUGCUCUUGUCUGCUCCAAUCCCCGGGUCCAGUCUUUUUUUUUUUUUUUUUCUCAAAAAUCUCAGGCUGGGUAUUUGAUUAAGUACACCAAAAGGCUCUUUCUUCCUUGAUAUACUGUUUAAUUAAUCUGUGGUAUAGGGUUGGAGGUAUCAAGGGAACAUCCAGUAUGAUUGCCAUUAAUUACUAUACACAAGUCCUUGCUAUCUUCAAGGGUUUAAAGUAAGCUAAACUCUGUGUCUCAACCAUCAUUGUCGGUAAUGGAGACUGACAAGCCUAUAAAUGUUAUUUUACUAAAACCAAAAGUUAUAUGGCCUUUUCCCCCUUGAAUUUGCUUUUUUUCCCUCCAGCAUGAAAAUAUCAGCAACAUCAGAAAUAAUAAAAGGAGAACUUCCCCAGAUUCUUUAUUUCCCUUGGUCCCUGGGGCAUGGUGAAUCUAGAAUACACUUGGCAAGAAUAUUGGCUAUUUUGCUUCGGGGUUACUUUAUUUCUCUCUUAUGUGCUCGGAGAGCUGCUCAUGAAGUGCCUGAGCUGGGUCUGGGAACAAUUUAGCCUAUUUGCCUUUCUGCAAUAACCUAGGCAUUUUCCUAUGAUUGGGAGCUUGCCUCUGGCCAAAGGCCAGUUGCCAGAGGAAACCAGUGACUAAAGGCUUCCUCCCUGUGAUGUCACCUUCUGGAACCAUUCCUUAUGAUUCCCCUCAAGUCGAGUGACCUUAUUUGGCUAUUUUCACCCCCCUCAAAUACUCACCUCUCCUCAACCAAUUUCCUGUUCUUCAUAACAGGGACCACCUUCUUCAAGAUAUCAGUAUGGAAACAGACUAUAUCCAAGAGUCCUACUGUGGGGACAAUGACUUGGGGAAACAGCUAUUUACAGUGAACCUUGGGCAAAGCAUUUCACUCCACUCUGAAGACUAGAGUUGCUGACUAUUUUUGGUUAUUGUUGACUCCAGAGAGAAUAGAAGACCCUUGGAAUAGCCAUACUUUUAUCUGGAAAGGGGAUGACCAAGAAACAAAACCAAACUGAUUGCAGAGAUCUUAUUUCCCCCCUCUUCAUAUAACAGCCUUUUUGGGGCUAUGGGAUUACUUUUAUUUUGAGUCUUAAAUUACUAAGGUUUUCUCUUGUCUGA